rnacentral:rRNA from 1 species
UGAUACUAAGCCAUGCGAGUCAUUGUAGCAAUACAAGGCAUACGGCUCAGUAACGCGUAGUCAACCUAACCUAUGGACGGGAAUAACCUCGGGAAACUGAGAAUAAUGCCCGAUAGAACAUUAUGCCUGGAAUGGUUUAUGUUCCAAAUGAUUUAUCGCCGUAGGAUGGGACUGCGGCCUAUCAGUUUGUUGGUGAGGUAAUGGCCCACCAAGACUAUUACAGGUACGGGCUCUGAGAGGAGUAGCCCGGAGAUGGGUACUGAGACACGGACCCAGGCCCUAUGGGGCGCAGCAGGCGAGAAAACUUUGCAAUGUGCGAAAGCACGACAAGGUUAAUCCGAGUGGUUUCUGCUAAAGGAACCUUUUGUCAGUCCUAGAAACACUGAUGAAUAAGGGGUGGGCAAGUUCUGGUGUCAGCCGCCGCGGUAAAACCAGCACCUCAAGUGGUCAGGAUGAUUAUUGGGCCUAAAGCAUCCGUAGCCGGCUCUGUAAGUUUUCGGUUAAAUCUGUACGCUCAACGUACAGGCUGCCGGGAAUACUGCAAAGCUAGGGAGUGGGAGAGGUAGACGGUACUCGGUAGGAAGGGGUAAAAUCCUUUGAUCUAUUGAUGACCACCUGUGGCGAAGGCGGUCUACCAGGACACGUCCGACGGUGAGGGAUGAAAGCUGGGGGAGCAAACCGGAUUAGAUACCCGGGUAGUCCCAGCUGUAAACCAUGCAAACUCAGUGAUGCAUUGGCUUGUGGCCAAUGCAGUGCUGCAGGGAAGCCGUUAAGUUUGCCGCCUGGGAAGUACGUACGCAAGUAUGAAACUUAAAGGAAUUGGCGGGGGAGCACCACAAGGGGUGAAGCCUGCGGUUCAAUUGG